UGGGGGAUAUUGCACAAUGGGCGAGAGCCUGAUGCAGCGACGCCGCGUGGGGGAUGAAGGCUUUCGGGUUGUAAACCUCUUUCGCUAUCGAACAAGGCCCGCUUAGGGUGGGUUGAGGGUAGGUGGAGAAGAAGCGCCGGCUAACUACGUGCCAGCAGCCGCGGUAAUACGUAGGGCGCGAGCGUUGUCCGGAAUUAUUGGGCGUAAAGGGCUUGUAGGCGGCUUGUUGCGCCUGCUGUGAAAACGCGGGGCUUAACUUCGCGCGUGCAGUGGGUACGGGCAGGCUUGAGUGUGGUAGGGGUGACUGGAAUUCCAGGUGUAGCGGUGGAAUGCGCAGAUAUCUGGAGGAACACCGAUGGCGAAGGCAGGUCACUGGGCCAUUACUGACGCUGAGGAGCGAAAGCAUGGGUAGCGAACAGG
rnacentral:rRNA from 1 species